rnacentral:rRNA from 1 species
AUACGGAGGGUGCAAGCGUUAUUCGGAAUCACUGGGCGUAAAGGACGCGUAGGCGGGUUGGCAAGUCAGAUGUGAAAUCCUACAGCUUAACUGUAGAACUGCAUUUGAAACUGCUAACCUAGAGUAUGGGAGGGGGAGAUGGAAUUAGUGGUGUAGGGGUAAAAUCCGUAGAUAUCACUAGGAAUACCGAAAGCGAAGGCGAUCUCCUGGAACAUAACUGACGCUAAGGCGUGAAAGCGUGGGGAGCAAACAGGAUUAGAAACCCUAGUAGGCC